rnacentral:tRNA from 1 species
UCCCUGGUGGUCUAGUGGCUAAGAUUCCGUGUUCCCAAUGCAGGGGGCCUGGGUUCAAUCCCUGGUCAGGGAA